UACGUAGGGCGCAAGCGUUGUCCGGAAUUAUUGGGCGUAAAGAGCUCGUAGGCGGCUUGUCACGUCGAUUGUGAAAGCCCGGGGCUUAACCCCGGGUCUGCAUUCGAUACGGGCAGGCUAGAGUGUGGUAGGGGAGAUCGGAAUUCCUGGUGUAGCGGUGAAAUGCGCAGAUAUCAGGAGGAACACCGGUGGCGAAGGCGGAUCUCUGGGCCAUUACCUACGCUUAGGAGCGAAAGCGUGGGGAGCGAACAGG
rnacentral:rRNA from 1 species